UACGGAGGGGGCUAGCGUUGUUCGGAAUUACUGGGCGUAAAGCGCACGUAGGCGGACUGUUAAGUCGGGGGUGAAAUCCUGGGGCUCAACCUCAGAAUUGCCUCCGAUACUGGCAGUCUCGAGUGCGGGAGAGGUGAGUGGAAUUCCCAGUGUAGAGGUGAAAUUCGUAGAUAUUCGGAGGAACACCAGUGGCGAAGGCGGCUCAGCUGGUCCGGUACUGACGCCGUGAGG
rnacentral:rRNA from 1 species